UUAAAAACUAGAUUUCUUUCCACCCCUGAAAACAGAACAGAUCUUUUGGCUGCAACUUGCAAGUCGUUAUUAGAAAAUUUAACUUGCAAUAAUGUUACAGAAAACUUAAUCAGGCUGAAACCUUAUAAUUCAAAAAAGCGUCUCUAUUUAUUAUCGGUAAGUUUAAAAAAGGACGACAUUUACGAGUUGCUGGAUCACUUAUACAUCGCCUGGAGUGCAGAUAAAACAUUUAAACCAUUUAUUCUCGAAA